CAUGGCCCAGAAAGUAGUUUAUGUAAAACAAAAACUUUGGGAGUUUUAGAUUUAGCCCUGCUAAUUUUCUGA
rnacentral:tRNA from 1 species